rnacentral:lncRNA from 1 species
UCAGAGGUAGAAAAUAAACCAUUUGGCACAAUUUGGCACAAAGUGUGCCAAACUGAGUCCUCGCCAGGGUGUAUCCUUACAAAAACCUUCAUGUAGGCUUUACUGUUUGCCCAAAUGCUAUCAAACUUGGUACAUUUGUGGUCAAGGAGUGGGUGAAGCUAGUCAAUGGCAUCUGGGGGCCUAGAAUCAUUGCCAGCAUUGUGUUUUCCUCUGUCAAAAAAAGAAAACAUUUUGGCGAGGGUAAAAAAACGAACUUUUCCUCUGAUUUAUUCCACUUUACUCAGGCAUAAUGACAGAUACAACACUUCUGACACUUGAAACACAUUCUCUGAAGUCUCUAGAUGUCCAAGGACACCAAGAACAUGCAUAUAACCUUUAGUAAAGUGUAGUAAUUCCUCAUUUACUUUGGGUAUGUCUUUUAGGCGUUUUUUUCCCUAAAAUAGGCUCAGGGCUUAACAGGCUAAUAAUAAUAACAGACAAAAUAUGGAGAGUUAACUUUUGGUCAGACUCUCAAAGGCAAAUGAUAAUACCAUUUAGCCUGCCUCCCCUGGCUAACAGUUAAUUUUAGAUUUGAUUUAAAUAUCAUAAUGAUAACUUUUGAAGCUCUGUCUUGACUUGUCCCAAAGUACAUCACUGAUCUCCCUCCACCUUACGAGCCCGGUCAGACCCUGAGAUCUUCAUCCAAGGGUCUGCUUUUCCUCAGUCCAGGCUGAAGACCAAGUGGGACCUGGCUUUUCAUGUCAGGGCCUGUCAGGGCUGGAACAAAUUGCCUGAGACCAGACUGGCAACUUCCUUCUCCUCUUUUAGGGUGCUUUUACAGGGUAUGACUUUUAACACAGUUUGUCUAAAUCAUUCCUAUUGAUGGACUGUUUUGGAAAUUGUUUUGUUGUCCGAUGCUGUAUGCCCUUCCUCUAUUUCUAUUCUGUCUUUUUAAGCACCUGGGGCCUCAUUUAUAAAACCUGGCGUAGGAUCCAUACUAAAAGUGUACUUAAGUCGAAAAGCUGAAAAGUGGGUACGGCAAAAAAAAAAAAAAAUCAGAUUUAUAAAACCCUGCGUAGGCACACCUGCAGGCGCUUUCCCUUUAUAAAUCACAGACCAGCCGGAAAGUUGCGCAGCAGGGAUUUGAUUCAUGCCCCGCCCUCUCCACACCCAAAAUUCACCAUGUAUGGUCAUGCAAAUUACCUCAUGAAUGUGAUUUGCAUAUAAAUAAGCCUGAUGGAUCCACAGCAUUUCACGAUUAAUCAUGGCAAGUCGCAGAAAAAGAAACUUUUCAGAGACCGAGGUGGAGGUCCUUGUAGAUGAGGUGGCGGCGAGACUGGAGACCUUAUUCGGCGGCCAUUCGAGUGGCAUCACUAAUAAAAGAAAAGCCACCAAAUGGCAUGCCGUUGCCGUGGCGGUAAGUGUGGCUGGCACUGAGCGCAGUGUUGCCGAAAUUAAGAAGUGGUCUGAUCUAAAGAUGGCGGCAAAGAAAAAAGUGGCUUUGCACCGUCGGAGCAUGGCGGCGACAGGUGAGGAUCAUAAAACACAAGCACAUGUGACACUAAUGCAUGUGUUCCAAAAAAACUGCUCCGUUAUCCACCGCUGCUUAUGUGGUGAAAGUUGGUAAACCAAAAAGAUUUAGUCAAAAUAUUUAACGUGGAAACUAUUUGUUACAUUUCAAAUUAAAUGCUAAAUCCUGAAAUCAAAAUGUUGAAUGAGAAGUAACUUCUGAAUCAUGUGAUAUCGCCAGCACCUUGCAACUUUUGACUGAGCAGAAAGUCUACAAAUUUUACACACAGGUGGCGGCCAGACCACAGAGGAACCAACACCACUUCCCUGCAAAAGUGCCAGUGUGUGUGGCAUUGUGUCGGAGAGGGAGGGGGACACAGAUUUUGCACAGACUGAGGAGAGUGGUAAGUUACAAUUUUACCCGUUUAUUGAAUCAAAAGUUUGUACAGACACGUGGCAAGAAAUGAUGUGCAUUGUGUCCUCAGUCACUGCAGUUGGAAGCAAUGGGAGAGGAUGUGGAGGAAGAGGAGGUGCUUCCCAGCACGUCUGGCACACUGGCUGCAGGCCUGUCUGUCCCCAGCACGCCCAGCAGAUCCAGAGUGCGCGGAGGCGGCCGGGUUCUCACAGAGACUGUCCUGCAGACACAGAGGGACACAAUCGGAGCCAUCCGAGAAGUGAGGGAGGAACUGGCACAAAUACACACAGUCUUGCAGAACAUGUGUGACCAGAGCCGGAUUAACCAUGAGGCAUAGUGAGGCUGAAGCCUCAGGGCGUUUGGCUAUGGGGGGCCACUCAGCCCGAGCAGAAGCCGCUAUGACGCUGGUGAGCUGCACCCGGUGUGAGGAGGAUUAGGCUGUAUUGGGACAGAGGAAAAAGUGCCUAGAAAGUGAAUCUCGUUCCACUUCAGUGGGGCAACAUAAACUGUGAUUCAUAAAACAGCUAUAUUGAUAGUGAUUGCUAAAAAAAAAAAUCUACUCAUGCCAUCCCGUUGAUUUUCAGUAAUCAGUGUUUCGGUGUCGAACUAUUUCCUUUCUGCGGCGCAGUGAUACUUGCACACGCGCAAUCGAAUAUGCAGAGAGGUGAAGCGAUUUUUGUCACGUGGACCAAUAGGAGAGCCGAGUCUCGUUGCCAUAGUAUCAGAAAUACACAAACAUGGCGACGAGCGCAUCUAGCAGCGAGACAAGCGAAGAGGAAGAAAUUAAAAGGAAAAAAAGAAAACAGCCGUCAAAAGUGCAUCAAAAAGGAACGAAAACGAUGCUAUAUGCAUCUAUCAUCUGUCCAGAGUGAAGACGUUCUCCACUUUACAAGGCCACGUUGGGAAACUUACAGAACUAGUAUUAGAAAGUGGCUUUCUCUACAGGGUGAGACAAAAGACCAGCCAGAAAUGUACAUAUAUGUGAGUAACACAAAAAAACGAUUAUAUGGUGCUGCUGUUUUUGCUUGUAGAAACUGCUAUGUUGAUUCUGACAAGACAAAAUCUUUCUCAGAUGUCAUAAAUACAUCUACCUAACAUCUGAAACAGUUAUUGGUGCCUUAGUAUAUGCAUAAGUGAAUUCAGAUUAUGAAAUGUAGCAAAUUUCUUGAAGAAAACGUCUCAACUCAAGUGAUUUGCACCCAGCACAAUGAAAUAUAUACAGUAAAUUUAGCUAAAAGCUUAUGUUUCAUACAUAAAAAUGACACAACCUACUGUGUAAUAAAAGCAAUGAAAUAUAAACAGCACAUCAUGGCCAUAAAUGGCUGAAAGUCAGUCAAAUUGCUACCACGCUCCCCAAAAUUGUAAUAAUGGAAAAAUGUAACAAGACAAAAAUAAAUGCACAAAAGGUCUGAAUUAAUUCAAAAUAUGGUAUAAAACAUUUAUUCAAGUAUCACAGUGUCAAAACCUCUGACAUUUAUCAGUCCCUACAGAAUAUGAAAAGAAAGAUCAAAACACAAAUGCAGACAAAUGUAGAACAAAUAUAAAAUAAUAAAAAUCUCAAAUCUCAGUGUAGCAAUCCUUUAAACAAAACAAAUUGUAUAACCAUAACAGGCCUUCAUAUCAUGCCUUGCACUUUUAUUUAUAAUGCUUGCUAUAUACUUAUGAUUUAAAAUGCCUGAGGUUUUCUACAGUAAAAAAGUGAACUGUACACCAGCCUCUGUGCUUUCCUUGAAGACUUUUUUCACUACCUCUUGUUGAAUUGAGUUCAGACACACAGUUGUAUUAACCCAGUGGUUUGGCUAGAGGUGGUGGCUAGUGGAACCGUUAAAUAACCCCCCAUAACUGCAGCAAUUUCCACAAAAUGACCAAUAAAAACUGCCAAUUUUUUCCGCGCACGGGACAGAGGGGGGCCAUUAGGUUUGCUUAGCCUCAGGGGCCACAGAAGGUUUAAUCGGCUAUGGACGCAAUAAAAGAGUUGUUGAAAAAGUGCAAAGCACUUGCACUUGCCUUUUUACACAAGCCGCAUCACUUCCUCACGUAGCCUUGCUCCAUGCUGAUGUUCGUCAUGCCGGGGAGGUGGCUGUGGGUCGGGGUCCACGUGUGGCGGGGCAGGGGGGAGGUCAGGUUGGAGGGGGAUGGCGUUCCUCACUGCCAAGUUGUGCAGCACCCCACACGCCCGUAUGAUUUUACACACCUUUCUGGGGUGGUAGAGUAGCCUGCCCCCCGAGGCAUCUAAGCACCUACCACCUACUCUUCAAUAAACCAAUGGCGCGCUCCACAACAGAGCGUGCCGUGCCGUGCACAAUGUUAAAGCGCACUUCCUCCGCGCUCUGUGGAUUUGGAAAUGUGGGUAGCCGCUGUCACCUGCGAGGUAUAACCAGAGUAAUUAACAAGCGUGAUCCAAUUGCAUUCCAAGAGGGGCACUCAGUAAUGCUGUUCCAGUGGCAGCAACAGAAUGGGUCCAAUGUAGAGAAAAAUUUCCCCGACAGAGCAAAUAAAGUUGUGUGGGAAUGCUAUGGUGUUAGUGUAAUACUUACCAAGGAGCCAGCCAUCACAAGUAGCACCUGUAUGCAGUCUGUUCCCUACACCGCUGUGCACCAAAAUGAAUGAAUUGUGUGUGAGCACAAUUGAGGAGUCACAAAUUAUUUGAACAUUUAUCGUGUGCACACCUUUUCUGUUUACAUAAACAAAUUCGUUCUCGCUGGGGGCUCUUAAAGCAAUGUGGGUGCAGUCAAUUGCACCGAUUACAAUAGGGAAACCGGACAUUGAUGCAAAUUGCCUUUUGCUGUUGGCCUGUUCAACAACAGUGUAGGGAAACCUGAUGUAGCGACUGAUCAUUUGGAUGAUCCCAUCCAAAACAGCUAGCAGUGCGGCACUGAGGGAUGGCUGCGAGAUCCCAGACCUGUUAGCACAGAAUUUAAUAUUGAUUUAUAUUUCGUGAAUCUAUACAUUUAAAUUACGCCUAUAUUGUGAUAUGACUGUCAUAAUAAAUACCUGUCCGACAAUUCCCUCUGGAACAAGCCUGUUGCCAAGAAACCAAUUGUUGUCAGCACCUUAACGUGUGCCGGUAUGGCGCGGUUCUGGUGUGUUGGUGCUCGAAAAUUGUACUCAAUUCAGCAAUUAGAUCCAGGAGCAAGGCUCUAGGGAGUCUAAAACGGCUUAUUAGCCAUUCAUCAUCAUGAGCCAGGAAAAGUGCAAAAGCAAGGUGUGGAGUUUGCUUAAAGUUGCGCACAUUCCUACGCUAUUUUUUUUAUUUUUUAUAAAUCCCAACUCUUGCUUAAGAAAGUGGCCUACGCACUUCCAAGCCAGGUUUUGUGCGUAAGCAAGCUUUAUAAAUGAGGCCCCUGGUAUUUAAAGAGCUUGCUUGUGGUCUUGAGCGGCAUCCUUUUUGCUCACAUGCAGGUAAAACAGCCACUGCUUUUUAAACUGUAUCAUGUUCAUAUUUUGCUGCAGAUAAUUUUUGAGGUCUGGAUGGCUAAAAUAGUAUUUGUACUCGUGGUGGAGUUGAAGAGGGAUUGCUGAUGAGCGAUCCUCACUAAUAUAAUUGGAGAGAGAGCAGCACUUGAUGUAGACAAACUACUUAGACGAGUUUUCUAACUUUAACCAUUGAGUUGACUCUCUGUCUUUCCCUUUGUUGGCGUUUUUGUCUCUGUCCAUUGUCUUGUAAUUUUUCCCCACGUUUUUUUAUUCGCCUUAAAUUUUCAGACUUUUUCAGAAACUUGGAUGAAGCCAUGCCCGAGUUUCUUUAAAGCAUUAGUAAUUAGCUGCACGCAUAGAGUACAAAGGUCUAAGUUUGUUAUAUUGUUUAGUUCGCUAAAGUGACUCCUGAAGAUAGUAUUGGCUGGCCAGCAAAAUGAUUUUCUCAAGUUAUUGGCGUGAAUUAAUCUGCAGUAAAGGUAAUCCUGAAUGCCCGGAGGACCGACCAGCAUCAUCUGCCGAGCUGCGUUUGCCACCCGGUUCCAAGAGCUAGGAGUGCUGAGGGAUCAACGGGUGCCAAUGGUGUGCGUUUGUGUGUGACAUCAGAUCCACUGUUCGGCCGGCUGCAAGCCGACCCGCAAAGACCAUCUGUAGCCUGGACCUUUGGCUGAUUCGCUCAAAGACUGCCGCUGAGAACCGUCAUCAAAUAAGUAUGCAAACCCCUCGACACCCGGUGAUGCUGUCAAGCGUUCAGAGCUUAUAAUUUUAAUUAAAGUUUAGUUUCUCCAAAUUCCUAUUCAGAAUUUAUCCUCGUAACACCAUUAACAUAGGUUAAAUUUU